UACGGGGGGAGCGAACGUUGUCCGGAAUCAUUGGGCGUAAAGCGCGCGUAGGUGGCUUCGUAAGUCCGUUGUGAAAGUCAAAGGCUCAACCUUUGAAUGCCGAUGGAUACUGCGGAGCUAGAGUACGGAAGAGGCGAGUGGAAUUCCUGGUGUAGCGGUGAAAUGCGCAGAUAUCGGGAAGAACACCCGUGGCGAAGGCGGUUCUCUGGGACGGUACUGACGCUGAGACGCGAAAGCGUGGGGAGCGAACAGG
rnacentral:rRNA from 1 species